rnacentral:rRNA from 1 species
CAUAGCGACUAUCGUGGCAUAUCAAUAAGCGGAGGAAAAGAAACUAACAAGGAUUCCCUUAGUAACGGCGAGUGAAGCGGGAAGAGCUCAAAUUUGAAAUCUUCAAGGUUUUACCUUGACGAAUUGUAGUUUAAAGAAGUGUUUUCUGUUAGUGGAGUGGCAAAAGUUCUUUGGAAUAGGACAUCAUAGAGGGUGAGAAUCCCGUAUUUGGUCAUUCUUUCUAGCUUUGUGAUACACUUUCAAAGAGUCGGAUUGUUUGGGAAUGCAGUCCAAAAUGGGUGGUAAAUUUCAUCUAAAGCUAAAUACUGGCGAGAGACCGAUAGCGAACAAGUACCGUGAGGGAAAGAUGAAAAGAACAUUGAAAAGAGAGUUAAACAGUACGUGAAAUUGUCAAAAGGGAAGCGUUUGACACCAGUGUUGUUUUCUCGAAAAUCAAUUAAAAAUGAUGGGAAUUUUGUGUUGUAUUGACUUUAUCAGCUUUCUGCACUUUUUUCCUUAUCUUUUUUAAUGCACUUUUCGUUUAACAAGUCAACAUCAAUUUCUUUUGUUGUAAAAGAGUCAUUGGAAGGUGGCUUUUCUUUCGGAAAAAGUGUUUAUAGCCUUUGGCUUCUGCAAUCGGAGAGAUUGAGGUCUGCAGCGUAGAUCCCUCGGGGUUAGAUACAUUUGUGCUAAGCUAUAGUUCUUUAUAGACAACUUGUUGACUAUAAUCAAUCCUGUAACUUACUCGCUUAUGCUAUUUUACCUACGCUUAGGAUGUUGACGAGACUGUCGAUCUC